rnacentral:rRNA from 1 species
GACGUAGGGGGCGAGCGUUGUCCGGAAUUACUGGGCGUAAAGAGCGUGUAGGCGGGCUGUUAAGUCAGGUGUGAAAUACCGCAGCUCAACUGCGGGGUGGCACUUGAUACUGGCAGUCUUGAGGGCAGGAGAGGGAAGUGGAAGUCCUGGUGUAGCGGUGAAAUGCGUAGAUAUCAGGAGGAACACCAGUGGCGAAGGCGGCUUCCUGGACUGACCCUGACGCUGAGACGCGAAAGCGUGGGGAGCAAACAGG